UACGUAGGGUGCGAGCGUUAAUCGGAAUUACUGGGCGUAAAGCGUGCGCAGGCGGUUUUGUAAGCCAGAUGUGAAAUCCCCGGGCUUAACCUGGGAAUGGCAUUUGGGACUGCAAGGCUUGAGUGCGGCAGAGGAGACUGGAAUUCCUGGUGUAGCAGUGAAAUGCGUAGAUAUCAGGAGGAAUACCGAUGGCGAAGGCAGGUCUCUGGGCUGACACUGACGCUCAUGCACGAAAGCGUGGGGGAGCAAACAGGAUUA
rnacentral:rRNA from 1 species